rnacentral:lncRNA from 12 species
GGGGAGGAAUGGCUUUGGCCUCAGAGAAAGGCAGGGGAGCUCAGCAUGACAGAUACAUCUGCUUCCUCCACAGUUUAAAGCCAGGGGAAUCUGCUGCACCGACUACAAAGCUGAAAUCAAGCUCCUCACAGGAUCACCUCACUGUUGGCAUGUUCACGGUGUCCCCCUGCUCCGGCUCCAUCGCUCCGUGGGGCCAGCAGAAGAUCACCGUGGAUUGCCUGGCAGGGGAGGAGGGGACAUGUGAGGAGCAGCUCUACAUUGACAUCACGGGCAUAGACCGCAGGGACAAUCCCCUGGGCGCUCCCUUCACCCUGAUUGCUGAGUCCUGCCUCCCAGGAAUUGUUGAGGAUGCCAUGUUAAUCUUCGAGGAGUAUCCAAUCUGCAGCAGCACCAACCUCAGCCACAAGCUGCGGUCGGUGAACGGUGUGGGCCUGUUUGUCAGAGAUGAGAACAAAUUCGUCUUCACCAAGGUUCUGGUUGGGCAAGAGGCUGAAGCUCAUUUCAAUAUCUACAAUGCAAGUGGUCUGCCAUGUGACGUGGUCCUCUCCCUCAAAUCCCCGCCUGGAAAGGAAAAAAUCCCUAUCAACAACAUUUUCAAAUUGUGUCCAGUCAAGAUGUCUGUUCCUGGCUCAUCCAAGGCUAUUGCUAUAGUGACCUUCACCCCACCAGACCAGCAGACCUACGACUGCAUUUUCAAGGCUUCCCUUGUCAUCCCAAAAAGGUAACUGACCUGUGAAAUGCUGGGGGAGGCCUCACUGAUAGCUGCCUCUCCACUGGGAAGGCACAGAUCUCUUGUUAGCUCUAAUGCUUUCAGUAGCCUUAGGCAGAGUACUUGGCAUGAGUUGAUCUGGGAGGCAGUAACUGUUAGAAAGAGCAGAAUGAUG